rnacentral:rRNA from 1 species
GAUGAACGCUAGCUACAGGCUUAACACAUGCAAGUCGAGGGGUAACGAGAGGAAAGCUUGCUUUCCUUGUCGACGACCGGCGCACGGGUGAGUAACGCGUAUCCAACCUGCCCCCAACUAGGGAAUAACCUUGCGAAAGUAAGACUAAUACCCUAUAAUUUCCUCAGAUGUCAUCUGACGAGGAAUAAAGAUUUAUCGGUUGUGGAUGGGGAUGCGUCUGAUUAGCUUGUUGGCGGGGUAAAGGCCCACCAAGGCAACGAUCAGUAGGGGUGCUGAGAGGAAGGUCCCCCACAUUGGAACUGAGACACGGUCCAAACUCCUACGGGAGGCAGCAGUGAGGAAUAUUGGUCAAUGGGCGGAAGCCUGAACCAGCCAAGUAGCGUGCAGGAUGACGGCCCUAUGGGUUGUAAACUGCUUUUAUACAGGAAUAAAGUUAGCCACGUGUGGUUAUUUGUAGGUACUGUAUGAAUAAGGACCGGCUAAUUCCGUGCCAGCCGCCGCCGUAA